UACGUAGGGGGCAAGCGUUGUCCAGAAUCAUUGGGCGUAAAGAGCGUGUAGGCGGCCAGAUAAGUCCGCUGUGAAAUCUCGAGGCUCAACUUCGAGCUGUCGGUGGAAACUGUCUGGCUAGAGUCCGGAAGAGGAGAAUGGAAUUCCUGGUGUAGCGGUGAAAUGCGCAGAUAUCAGGAAGAACACCCGUGGCGAAGGCGGUUCUCUGGGACGGUACUGACGCUGAGACGCGAAAGCGUGGGGAGCGAACAGG
rnacentral:rRNA from 1 species